rnacentral:lncRNA from 10 species
GGGGAACAAAGCAAUAUAGAGUAACUCAAGCUAAGGGCCCACAUACACACUAGGAGGAUGGGGAUGGAGCUACCAGAAAUUUGUGCCUUGUGAAAAUUAGACAUCCAGGCCCCAUCAGUUUCUUAUAAAAGCCUCUGCAUUCAACUGUAAAAACAGCAACCCGUUUGGUCCCCUUCUCUGCUGCAGAGAGCUUCUUUCACUUAUUAAAUUUUUGCUCCAACCUCACCCUUUGUGUCCACGUUCCUUAAUUCUCUCUGUUUUGAGACAAAGAACUCCAGGUGACACAUCACAAUGAAAGACUGCUACAUUGUGGUACAUUGGUAACACUGUAACAAUGGGACUGACUUCACAUAUGGGUGGUCACUGAGAAGAGGACAACUGGCUACAAAUAUCAACAGGCUUUAACAGUCUUCUUUCCUUCAAGUCCAGUUCUUUGAAAGUCCAAAUUUGCUCUGAACUGACUUCAAGCAAGUGCCCACUCUUGAACAAAUUACUGAGGCUGGAGGAUAAAGACACAAAUUGGCCAAACUUGGAUUACCUGCCUUCUGCAUCUUAAAGGAGUCAGUCCCAACUACAAAUUUAAGAGGAUCACAGAAACACCCACAAACUUACGAGGAUCACAGAAAACACCCCUACACCAACUUAUAGCCAAUCUAUUCAACCUGCAUUGUUAGCAGGUCACCUCUCCUGGAUCUCUGCCUGUAGUGCCCAAUUAAGAAUGGAAGCUGAAAUGUGGAUGUGAUAGAAGAAGAUGAACUAUUUCUGAAUUCAAGAUGGACUCUGAAUUGAGAAGAUAGAUGCCUUGGACCUUAACACUAUUGAGCUAUCAACUAAACUGCAGACCACUUACCUUCAUAUUUGUGAGAUGAAAAUAACUGUCUAUUUUUAGAGGAGCCCAACCUGUGUCCUAACUAGUAUAGCUAGGCAUAGAGAUACUAAAGAAUUGCUAUAACUAGAUAACCAUAAUGGAAAUAAUAAUGCCAGAAAAGGUGGCAUUUAAUGUUGCAAGGACAAAAAAAUGGCUAAGAUAGAUCAUUGUGUAAUGAUAAGAAGCAAAAUUCAACAUGAUGGCCUAAAAGUCAUGAACUAUGUAUUUCAAACAAUAUAGCACCUAACUACCUAAGGAAACGCUGUUAAAAAUAUAAAAUUUUUAAAAAGAAUUGUGAAUUUAUAACAGAAGACUUUCAUGGUGCAAUCAAUAAGUUUGAUUUAAGGAAUAUAUAAUAUAAUAUAAUAUAAUAUUAUAUUAUAUUACAGCCAUCAAAGAAUAUUCAGAAUUUUAUUUGAUGUUUGCCUUCAUUAAAAAACUAUACUUUUAAAAAUAUUUUGACUUUUUUUUCAGGGCAUAUUUCCUGAUUUUGAACCAAUCAAAUUAGAAAUAAAUAAUUUAAGGGUGUUAAAAAAUCCUAGCAGUUUGAAAGAUGCUAAUAAAUAACUUAGAUUAAAAAGAAAAAUCAAAACUGAUAUUAAGAAUUAUGGGCAUGAAAGAAAAGGAGAAUAUCUUAUAUCAAAACAUAUAAGAAAUACACUUGAGAAAAUGGAUAGCCUUGAAUGCCUUUGUUUUCCAAACAAGAUGAAAAAUAAAAGAACUUGGUAUUUAUCUUAUGGAAUUAGACAUACACAAUAAACAAAAAUAAUUUGGAGGGAUGUAUACUUAAGAGGAAAAAUGACAAUAUAAUGGAAAAAUGGUGGAAAAUAAUUUUUAAAUCUAAAAACUGAUAUGUGAAAAAAAGAUUAUUAAUUUAUACAUAUUAUAUGAUCUUAGAGACUUUAUAGUAGACAAAUCUUAAUGUGGGUUAAAUGUUGUUUCCAUGACAGAAUGGUUUAAAUUUUAUUUGAAAUUUUCUAAGUUUUUAUUGUGAUAACUUAAAAAAAACAAUGAAAAUGAACCUUAUGAUAUGCAAAAGCCAUCUGCAAGUUGAAUUCAGUCUGUCUGUCACUGGUUUGUGACUUGUAAUAUAUAAGAUUCCUUGGUGUGACAUUCCCAAUUUUUAGCAUGCUGUCUUUCACAUAUGUCAGGUAAACUAUGAAAAACACUUUUAUGAAAAACAAUCAGCCCCUUUUGAGUCCGUUAUUUUUCUUCUUGGUAUGCCUCUAUUAAUAGUACUCAGAGCUCAGUUAUUCUAUUUUUAUUUCAGGGAGAACAGCAUUGCACUGACUUCAGAAGUGAGGGAAAUAAAAUUCUUAAAAAAUAGUCAUUUCAUUAUUAAACUGAUGAACAAGGACAAUUUUACUUGAUGAUUGUCAGAUCUAUACACUCUAAUUAUAUUUUCCAAUCAUUUUUGUGGUGUUAGCAAGCCACGAUCUACUUUGUACAUGUCAUAAGAUGCUCGAUAGUUUAAUUCAACUAUCCUUUUUCUUUUUAACCAAAGAUAAUCAUGGAAAAACAGAGAUUAGUAUGUAUUCUGAUUUAUUUCAGACAGGCAGAAUACAGUCAGCAUUCACUUCUCAUGGCUUUCAAGCCAAUGACAUUCAUCUUCCUCAUGAAUUCUGGAUAAAUUGAGAAUUGCCAAGGAUUAGACCAUAACAGAUUAUUUAGCAAUGUGGAUUAGUCAUACAAAUCUUUUUGAAUCAGUUCCAUAAAGAUGAUAAGUGGCUAAAGCCAUGGUGCCAAAGAAAAGAACAAUGUACAAUCUGUGAACAAAAAUGCAGGCCAUUUGGCUUCACUAUAGCAGUAUCCCAGUGUUUUGCCAGAGAAGAGGAAGGGCUUGGAAGGUAAAUGAGUCCAGAGAUUCAAGCCCCAUCUGUUCAGACAGGCUGAAGCUUGCUGGGUUGACAGUGCUUAUGCUGGGCAUUGAUUGAUAUCAUCUCAAUUGGCUCUUGACAUGAGAGGCAGUUGAGGAUGUCUGAAUUAGAAAUUGGUCCUAGGAUCCUGAACAUGAGCCAAGAGUAGUAGUUACAAAAAACAAAAACAAAAACUAUAGUAAAACAAAGUAAGUGUCCUCUCAUUACUGCCUACGCCCCUUUGAAAACAAAAGAAGAAAAAAAAAUUAGAAAAAGAAAAGAAGAAAAAAGGAAAAGAUGAAGAAAAAGCAGAAAAAGAAAAGAAAAAAUGUACAAUGGAAUUUGAGGCUCGGAAAUGACAAAUUACCACCUAUCUAUUUACAAUGAAUAAUCAUUUACAUAUACGUGUUCCAUAUGUUCCUUUCUGUCACACAUAGUUCUUUUAUUUCUAUUGUUCUUAAAUGUUAAUUUUCUUUGACAUCAUAAAUUUAUAUUCAAUAUUGACAGGUUCUGAUAAUUUAUGAAAUUUUCUUUAUUUCAUGUUUAUGUUGUCAAAGCCUUCUUUGUAACCCUAUUUAAUAUAUACUAUAAUUACUUUUUCUGUGUUAAUUUUUAAUGUAUUUCCACAUUUAUAAUAUUUUAA